ensembl:lncRNA
CAGAUGGGGCCAGGAUAGAUAGGUAGACUGAUAUAAGAUGGGGCCAGGAUAGAUAGGUAGACUGAUAUAAGAUGGGGCCAGGAUAGACAGGUAGACUGAUAUCAGAUGGGGCCAGGAUAGAUAGGUAGACUGAUAUAAGAUGGGGCCAGGAUAGAUAGGUAGACUGAUAUAAGAUAGGGCCAGGAUAGAUAGGUAGACUGAUAUAAGAGAGGGCCAGGAUAGAUAGGUAGACUGAUAUAAGAUGGGGCCAGGAUAGAUAGGUAGACUGAUAUAAGAUAGGGCCAGGAUAGAUAGGUAGACUGAUAUAAGAGAGGGCCAGGAUAGAUAGGUAGACUGAUAUAAGAUGGGGCCAGGAUAGAUAGGUAGACUGAUAUAAGAUGGGGC